GGGCACUUAGCUCAGCUGGUAGAGCGUCGCAUUUACACUGCGAAUGUCGGGGGUUCGAUCCCCUCAGUGCCCA
rnacentral:tRNA from 3 species